rnacentral:lncRNA from 1 species
CUCGGGGACGGAGGCGCCCGGUCCGCCCUGACGAGCUCGCCACUGGCUCUGCUCCGGCGGCGACGGCGACAGUGGCCCUGGCCGACUUUCCCGGGGCCCACACCUCCUCGAGAGCCAGCUUGGGCAGGGGACGGUGCCGCACCACCAAGGCCCCGCGCUAGUGUGCACCCCCGGCCCGGGCCCGGCAGGUGGGCGAGGAGGGCGGGCGCAGUCGGGCUCUGCAGGAGCGCGCGGAGAUUCUGGCUACAUUGGAGAUUGGUUGCUUUCUAAAACUGAAGGAGAAGCCCAUGAAGAGAUGGUGGAUUCUCACUGAGUUUUGACUAGCGGAAGAAAAGAGAGAGUUCAAGUGGAUGGCCUUGAGGACUUGAAAAGCUGAGAUAUGAUGAUUUUGAAGUCAUUUCACAUCGAAGCCAUGAUUUAAAUAUCGGCGUUAAGAUUUCAACAAGAAAAACUUAAGCUUCCUUGGAUUCCCACGUCAAAGGAAAGUUUCAAGGUAAAGUGGCCUUGUCUCAACAACUGUGAAAUUUUGAAGAUUUGUUGUAGCUUUUAAAAUUAUUCUCUUGAAUGUCUAACUCAUGAGUUUAAAUGUUUGGCAAUAUGUUUUCUCUCUAGAAUUUGAUUUAUU